rnacentral:rRNA from 1 species
AUUGAACGCUGGCGGCAUGCCUUACACAUGCAAGUCGAACGGCAGCACGGGGGGCAACCCUGGUGGCGAGUGGCGAACGGGUGAGUAACACAUCGGAACGUGUCCUGUUGUGGGGGAUAACCAGUCGAAAGACUGGCUAAUACCGCAUGAGCUGGAGACAGGAAAGCGGGGGACCUGAAAGGGCCUCGUGCGAUUGGAGCGGCCGAUGUCCGAUUAGCUAGUUGGUGGGGAAAGGCCCACCAAGGCGACGAUCGGUAGCUGGCCUGAGAGGAUGAUCAGCCACACUGGGACUGAGACACGGCCCAGACUCCUACGGGAGGCAGCAGUGGGGAAUUUUGGACAAUGGGGGCAACCCUGAUCCAGCCAUGCCGCGUGAGUGAAGAAGGCCUGGUGUAA